rnacentral:rRNA from 1 species
CUUAAGCAUAUCAAUAAGCGGAGGAAAAGAAACCAACAGGGAUUGCCCUAGUAACGGCGAGUGAAGCGGCAACAGCUCAAAUUUGAAAUCUGGCUCUUUUAGAGUCCGAGUUGUAAUUUGCAGAGGGCGCUUUGGCGUUGGCAGCGGUCCAAGUUCUUUGGAACAGGACGUCACAGAGGGUGAGAAUCCCGUACGUGGUCGCUAGCCUUCGCCGUGUAAAGCCCCUUCGACGAGUCGAGUUGUUUGGGAAUGCAGCUCUAAAUGGGAGGUAAAUUUCUUCUAAAGCUAAAUACUGGCCAGAGACCGAUAGCGCACAAGUAGAGUGAUCGAAAGAUGAAAAGCACUUUGGAAAGAGAGUCAAAUAGCACGUGAAAUUGUUGAAAGGGAAGCGCUUGCAGCCAGACUUGCCUGUAGUUGCUUAUCCGGACUUUUGUCCGGUGCACUCUUCUGCGGGCAGGCCAGCAUCAGUUUAGGCGGUUGGAUAAAGGUCUCUAUCACGUACCUCCCUUCGGGGUUGGCCUUAUAGGGGAGACGACAUGCAACCAGCCUGAACUGAGGUCCGCGCAUCUGCUAGGAUGCUGGCGUAAUGGCUGUAAGCGGCCCGUCUUGAAACACGGACCAAGGAGUCUAACAUCUAUGCGAGUGUUUGGGUGUCAAGCCCAGACGCGUAAUGAAAGUGAACGGAGGUGGGAACCUUUUAGGUGCACCAUCGACCGAUCCUGAUGUCUUCGGAUGGAUUUGAGUAAGAGCAUGGCUGUUGGGACCCGAAAGAUGGUGAACUAUGCUUGAAUAGGGUGAAGCCAGAGGAAACUCUGGUGGAGGCUCGCAGCGGUUCUGACGUGCAAAUCGAUCGUCAAAUUUGGGCAUAGGGGCGAAAGACUAAUCGAACUAUCUAGUAGCUGGUUCCUGCCGAGUU